CGCCCAGUCUUGGAUAGUUAUAUUUGAGAGCAAUUUAUUUAAAUCUUCAAAGAGAUAAUUCCGGAAUCAGGGAGGAAAGAGUCCCUCCGCCGCCCAUUGGAACAUGGAAUGGAGCUGCGGGUGAAGCCAACCUUCCUGAAAUUCCAAAUAUUUUUUUUCGAACCUACUGCAAAAUACGUCUUACAAGAGUUAUAAUGCAUAAGACGGAGAAGCUCUGGAUCAGGUCAUGGAGGAUUGAAGUAUUCCGGGCAUCGCGAGGAGUCGAAGAAGCAGCGGGGGGAAGUCAGAUGGUAGAGUUUUUGGAGUUGGUACGAAGGAUCUGCGUGGUCGAGGCCCGCCAGAAUUUCUCCAAUCCUAGAUAUAUAAAAAAAGAAUGAUCAAUAAAUCUUUGAAAUUAUGGACUUCAUAUUUGCAGCCGCAUGAUGUCAUAUGUACAUGUCUAAAAUUGUUAACAAUCAUAAUAAUACUUGUAAUGUCGAUUUUUUUUCUUUUUAAAGUCGAACUUUACACUUAUUUUGUUCAAAUCUUGUGUCAGUUGUUACUAAUUGUUUAACAACUUAGUAACAAUAUGUUAUACAAUCAACUGCUUUUGAAUUAAUUAUUCUUUUGUUAAUUAAACUUCAAUACUGAUAUUUUGAUCAAAGAAAAAUGCUGAAAAUUUUUAUAGUAAAUAUUAUUUAAUUUUACAAAAAAUACUUAAUGCAAGUAUAACAAUUAUUUUUUAUAUGUUGUUGCCUAUGGUAACAUUGUCGUAUAGAUAAUUCAAGGUUAUGAAUUACAACAAUUGUUACAAUCGUAGUAUUGCAUUAUAUGAACUCAUGAUUUUCUAAAAAUGUAGAGAUAUUUUUUUUUUCAAUGUUCAAAUUCUUUGUUAGCUUUUUUGUGAUGCUAUAUCAACUAACUUUUUAAAUUCAUUUAUUUAUAUUUCUUUAAGCUGCUGUUCUAUUAUUACCGCUUUAUUGUUUUAAAAGCAAUAGCUCAAUUUUCCAUUCUAUGACAUUUCUUAGCUCUUUUAUGAAUGUUUCGUUAUUUGAAAAAAAAAAUAAUGAUAGCAAUGUUCACUCUUUUCUUAUUGACAUAAGGCCAACACUUUUUUUACUCGGAGUAUUAAUAUGUGUUACUUGAUUGACUUCAUCAAUCCCUUUGUAUAGAUUAGAUACUUGAACAAGAUCCAAUUAAAAUUGAUCCAUCAUUAGUUUGAGAGAGAGGUUAUGUUAGAAUAAUAGACCUUAGGUCAAAAGCGAGGAAAACUCAGUGGACCAAAAAGAGCCUAAUUUGAGUUAAGAGAAUUCUUGACCAGGUUGAUAAGAGAAGGAGUAAGGACUAAGGCUUGGGAUAAAUUGCUAGAAAGCUACACUGUUCUGGUUAUAAGUCAUGGGGGUGAGGUUUGGGAAAUGAUUUAGGCGUUAAGUAGAAUGGCUGAGGAUAAAUUUGUAAGUUAAGGGUUUGGAUCUGGUAGGGAGAUUGCUGAGAGUAUGAUUGUCUUGUUGGUCGCUCUCACUUCUCUCCUGCCCUUCACCAUAAGAGGUCGCAUGGUAUUUGUAAUGAUGGUUUCAGUUUAGAUGAGGGAGCAGCUGGUGCAGUGGGUAUGGUGUUAUUCUAGUACUUAGGUCAUGAAUGGAAUUUAGAGCAUGUUUGGGUGCUGGAAGAUCUUUUUGAACUCGGUUCGACAAGAUCUUAUGGCAAGGGUUUCGCGUCUAAAAAUGUAAGAGUAAGAAUGCGACUGAAAGAGAUGCAUGGGAAGCUGAGAACACCUAAUUUCUAUGUUUUGAGCAUAGGAUAAAUCAUCUUGAAAAAGAGAUUAGUUAUCCUUGAAAACGCGGAUUGCUUACUCUAUAUGAUAGCCCUAAUCUCUUUCAACACCUUUUCCAUGGUAUUUUUCUAACGUGAAGGCCCACUAAAGGACUGCUUUUGCAAAAUCUUCCCCCUUUAUCUUCUUAGGUAGCUGGGCUUUGUGGGUGUCAAAGAUUGGCUUUAAUAGGCUUUAAUUAUAUAGGCUUAGCCAAUGUGAUUGCAUUAACUGGGAAGUGAAUUGGCUUUUGAAAGGUUACUAGGGCUAUCAUAUAGAGUAAGAGAUUAGGGCUAUCAUAUAGAGUAAACGAGCUACUUAGGUUACUAGGGCUAUCAUAUAUAGAUUAGGGUUACUAGGUUUUUUAUGAUAGCGGAUUACUAGGGCUCCUUGAGCUACUUAGGUUAGCUUAGGGUGUAAACGAGCUGAGCCAAGCUGGGUAUCAGGCUGCUCAUGCUUGGCUUGGCAUAUCGAGAAGUGGUUCAAGCUCGAGCUGAGAUCAGAAAAGUCUGUUGAAGCUCAACUCAGCUAAGUGUGAAACAAGCUUUAGUCGAGGAGCAUCUUUUGAACUGAUUUGGCAAAAUAUAAGUGUUCAUAUUCGAACUAUUUUUGAGCUGAACUCUAAAACAUAUUUGUGCUCGGCUCAUUUCCUACCUAAGAUGAGCUUAAACAAGUUCUUAGCGAACCAAGCCUCGGGUGCUCAUGAGCAGCUCCGUUCGUAUACAACCCUAAGGUUAAAUAUGAUUAUAAGUUUGAAUCGAUCAUGAAAGGUUUCAGGUAAUAAGAUUUGGCUCAGGAUUGGGGUUUUGGUAUGGAGAAGAAAUGGACCUAAAAUGAGUGGCUGCGCUGAUUACCUCAUUCACAUGUAUCGACCCCUUUGAAUUCUGAUGAGCGUCCGCAAUAGAUGAAGAACAAACAAAAAUAAUUCAAAAAGGCAUAAAUUUUGAGCUUUGCAAUGAGACCAAUAUGCUGAUGCAGCGUCCAAGGCUUAGGGCGACGCUGUUAUGGUUACAUUACUACAAUGACAUGAUCCCCUAUGCGAUUAUUCAUUGUUCCACGGGUUUCUUUCCGCAGAGAUGUCUUGCAGCUGGAGGAUGUAUGUUUCAUGUGCUUUCUUGAGCUCUUUUGAUUUCAUCAUUUAGCACCACUCUCCUUCCAUGUUCCAGCACCUUUUGCCUGUCGUGCAGUUAAAUUGUUAUGCAAGACAAUUUGAAAGACGAGAAGAAAAAAAAA